GGGCCGGUAGCUCAGCUGGGAGAGCGUCCGGCUUUUAACCGGACGGUCGCGGGUUCAAAUCCCGUCCGGCCCG
rnacentral:tRNA from 1 species